rnacentral:rRNA from 1 species
AACGAACGCUGGCGGCAGGCUUAACACAUGCAAGUCGAACGCAUCCUUCGGGGUGAGUGGCAGACGGGUGAGUAACGCGUGGGAACGUGCCCUUCAGUUCGGGAUAACCCAGGGAAACUUGGGCUAAUACCGGAUACGUGCGAGAGCAGAAAGAUUUAUCGCUGAAGGAUCGGCCCGCGUCUGAUUAGCUAGUUGGGGGGGUAAUGGCCCACCAAGGCGACGAUCAGUAGCUGGUCUGAGAGGAUGAUCAGCCCCAUUGGGACUGCGACACGGCCCAAACUCCUACGGGAGGCAGCGGUGGGGAAUAUUGGACAAUGGGCGCAAGCCUGAUCCAGCCAUGCCGCGUGAGUGAUGAAGGCCUUAGGGUUGUAAAGCUCUUUCGUCCGGGACGAUAAUGACGGUACCGGAAGAAGAAGCCCCGGCUAACUUCGUGCCAGCCGCCGCGGUAA